rnacentral:rRNA from 1 species
GCUACGCUGGCGGCGUGUCUUAGCCAUGCAAGUCGAGCGGAUUUAUGGGGUAACUUAUAAGUCAGCGGCGGACGGCGGAGUAACACGUAGCUAACCUACCCUCUGGACGGGGAUAACCUACCGAAAGGUGGGCUAAUACCCGAUGUAGUCAUCCUGUAUAGGGGUGAUGAAAGGUGGGCUUCUGUUUACAAGCUCAUGCUGGAGGAGGGGGCUGCGGCCUAUCAGGUAGUUGGUAGGGUAAUAGCCUACCAAGCCGAUGACGGGUAGCCGGCCUGAGAGGGUGACCGGCCCGAGGGGCACUGAGAUACGGGUCCCACUCCUACGGGAGGCAGCAGGCUAGAAAUUUGGGCAAUGGGGGAAACCCUGACCCAGUGACGCCGCGUGCAGGAAGGAGCCCUUCGGGGUGUAAACUGCUGUCGUGUAGGGAGAAGGGUACUAAGGUGAACAAUCUUAGUACUUGACGGUACUACAGGAGGAAGCCCAGGCUAACCUCGUG